UAAGGGCGCACGGUGGAUGCCUUGGCACUAGAAGCCGAUGAAGGACGUUACUAACGACGAUAUGCUUUGGGGAGCUGUAAGUAAGCUUUGAUCCAGAGAUUUCCGAAUGGGGAAACCCAGCAUGAGUUAUGUCAUGUUAUCGAUAUGUGAAUACAUAGCAUAUCAGAAGGCACACCCGGAGAACUGAAACAUCUUAGUACCCGGAGGAAGAGAAAGAAAAUUCGAUUCCCUUAGUAGCGGCGAGCGAAACGGGAAGAGCCCAAACCAACAAGCUUGCUUGUUGGGGUUGUAGGACACUCUAUACGGAGUUACAAAGGACGACAUUAGACGAAUCAUCUGGAAAGAUGAAUCAAAGAAGGUAAUAAUCCUGUAGUCGAAAAUGUUGUCUCUCUUGAGUGGAUCCUGAGUACGACGGAGCACGUGAAAUUCCGUCGGAAUCUGGGAGGACCAUCUCCUAAGGCUAAAUACUCUCUAGUGACCGAUAGUGAACCAGUACCGUGAGGGAAAGGUGAAAAGCACCCCGGAAGGGGAGUGAAAUAGAACCUGAAACCGUGUGCUUACAAGUAGUCAGAGCCCGUUAAUGGGUGAUGGCGUGCCUUUUGUAGAAUGAACCGGCGAGUU
rnacentral:rRNA from 1 species